rnacentral:misc_RNA from 1 species
UUAAGUUCAGCGGGUAUCCCUACCUGAUCCGAGGUCAACCUUGGGUGGUCUUCACGGCCGCCACGGCACCGGGCCCACAGAGCGAGGUUUCUGCUACGCUCAAAGCCGGCACCGCACCACCGAUAUUUUUGGGGAGCAUCCGCGCUCGAGGGCGGGACGGCUCCCAACACCAAGCCAGGCUUGAUUGGUGAAAUGACGCU